rnacentral:misc_RNA from 1 species
GAUGAAGAACGUAGCGAAAUGCGAAAAGUAGUGUGAAUUGCAGAAUUCAGUGAAUCAUCGAAUCUUUGAACGCACAUUGCGCCCCUUGGUAUUCCAUGGGGCAUGCCUGUUCGAGCGUCAUUUACACCCUCAAGCUCUGCUUGGUGUUGGGCGUCUGUCCCGCUGCUUUGCGCGGACUCGCCUCAAAGGUAUUGGCAGCGAUCAUGCCAGCUUCUCGCGCAGCACAUUGCGCUUCUUGAAGUUCUGGUGGAUCAGCGUCCAUUAAGCUUACCUUCAUGACUUGACCUCGGAUCAGGUAGGGAUACCCGCUGAACUUAAGCAUAUCAAUAAGCGGAGGA